rnacentral:rRNA from 1 species
GGUCAGGCUGAAGACCUUACCCGAUUAGCUGAGAGGUGGUGCAUGGCCAUCGUCAGUUCGUACUGUGAAGCAUCCUGUUAAGUCAGGCAACGAGCGAGACCCACGUCCACAGUUGCCAGCAUACCCCUCCGGGGUGAUGGGUACACUGUGGAGACCGCCGCUGCUAAAGCGGAGGAAGGAGUGGGCAACGGUAGGUCAGUAUGCCCCGAAUCUCCCGGGCUACACGCGGGCUACAAUGGUUGGUACAAUGGGCAUCUACCCCGAAAGGGGAAGGAAAUCUCUUAAAGCCAAUCGUAGUUCGGAUUGAGGGCUGCAACUCGCCCUCAUGAAGCUGGAAUCCGUAGUAAUCGCGUUUCAACAGAACGCGGUGAAUACGUCCCUGCUCCUU